rnacentral:rRNA from 1 species
AUGCACGCUGGCGGCGUGCUUAACACAUGCCCGUCGAACGAAGCACUUUAUUUGAUUUCCUUCGGGACUGAUUAUUUUGUGACUGAGUGGCGGACGGGUGAGUAACGCGUGGGUAACCUGCCUUGUACAGGGGGAUAACAGUUGGAAACGGCUGCUAAUACCGCAUAAGCGCACGGCAUCGCAUGAUGCAGUGUGAAAAACUCCGGUGGUAUAAGAUGGACCCGCGUUGGAUUAGCUAGUUGGUGAGGUAACGGCCCACCAAGGCGACGAUCCAUAGCCGACCUGAGAGGGUGACCGGCCACAUUGGGACUGAGACACGGCCCAAACUCCUACGGGAGGCAGCAGUGGGGAAUAUUGCACAAUGGGCGAAAGCCUGAUGCAGCGACGCCGCGUGAGCGAAGAAGUAUUUCGGUAUGUAAAGCUCUAUCAGCAGGGAAGAUAAUGACGGUACCUGACGAAGAAGCACCGGCUAAAUACGUG